rnacentral:rRNA from 1 species
GACAGAGGGUGCAAACGUUGUUCGGAAUUACUGGGCGUAAAGCGCGUGUAGGCUGCUCGGAAAGUCGGGUGUGAAAGCCCUGGGCUCAACCUAGGAAGUGCACUCGAAACUUCCGAGCUGGAGUGCUGGAGAGGAAGGCGGAAUUCUCGGUGUAGAGGUGAAAUUCGUAGAUAUCGAGAGGAACACCGGUGGCGAAGGCGGCCUUCUAGACAGCCACUGACGCUGAGACGCGAAAGCGUGGGGAGCAAACAGG